UUAACUCAAAUUUGUAUGUUAUUGGAACGUUUGCUUACGUUUGCCGCUAGGGGCGCUGUUCCAAACUGCAUACUUUGAGUUA
rnacentral:pre_miRNA from 1 species